UGAAUACGAGACGCUAAGGCGUCGAAGUAGUGUAUGUCAUACUUCCAAGAAAAGCUUGCACUGUCAUAAAUAGAAAAUGCCUGUACCAUAACCGACACAGGUGGGUAGGUAGAGUAUACUAAGGGGCGCGAGAUAACUCUCUCUGAGGAACUCGGCAAAAUGACUCCGUAACUUCGGGAGAAGGAGUGCCUUAUUUUUAAGGUUGCAAUAACAAGAUCCAAGCAACUGUUUAUCAAAAACACAGGUCUCCGCUAAGUCGUAAGACGAUGUAAGGGGGCUGACGCCUGCCCAGUGCCAGAAGGUUAAAGAAGUUGGUUAGCAUUAGCGAAGCUGAUAACUGAAGCCCUGGUGAACGGCGGCCGUAACCAUAACGGUCCUAAGGUAGCGAAAUUCCUUGUCGGGUAAGUUCCGACCCGCACGAAAGGCGUAAUGAUUUGGAUACUGUCUCGGAGAGGGGCUCGGUGAAAUAGACUUGUCUGUGAAGAUGCGGACUACCUGCACCUGGACAGAAAGACCCUAUGAAGCUUUACUGUAACUUGAAAUUGAAAUUGGACUUUAGUCGCGCAGCAUAGGUGGGAGGCGUUGAUGAUGUUCUUGCGGGAACAUUGGAGCUAUCAGUGAGAUACCACUCUUCUAAUGUUAGAUUUCUAACUUUGAACCAUUAUCUGGUCAGAGAACAGUUUCAGGUGGGCAGUUUGACUGGGGCGGUCGCCUCCCAAAUGGUAACGGAGGCGUACAAAGGUUUCCUCUGAACGGAUAGAAAUCGUAUCUAGAGUGUAAAGGCAUAAGGAAGCUUGACUGUGAGACCUACAAGUCGAGCAGGGACGAAAGUCGGUCUUAGUGAUCUGACGGUACUGAGUGGAAAGGCCGUCACUCAACGGAUAAAAGUUACUCUAGGAUAACAGGCUGAUCUCCCCCAAGAGUUCACAUCGACGGGGAGGUUUGGCACCUCGAUGUCGGCUCAUCGCAUCCUGGGGCGGUAGUACGUCCCAAGGGUUGGGCUGUUCGCCCAUGAAAGCGGUACGCGAGCUGGGUUCAGAACGUCGUGAGACAGUUCGGUCCAUAUCCGGUGUAGGCGUUAGAAUAUUGAGAGGAGCCUUCUCUAGUACGAGAGGACCGAGAAGGACAUACCUCUGGUGUACCAGUUAUCGUGCCAACGGUAAACGCUGGGUAGCUAUGUAUGGAGUGGAUAACCGCUGAAAGCAUCUAAGUGGGAAGCCCACCUCAAGAU
rnacentral:rRNA from 1 species